GCCCGGGUGGCGGAAUUGGUAGACGCGGUGGACUCAAAAUCCAUUGCCAGCGAUGGCGUGAGAGUUCAAGUCUCUCCCCGGGCACCA
rnacentral:tRNA from 1 species